CUACGGGGCGCAGCAGUGGGGAAUAUUGGACAAUGGGGGAAACCCUGAUCCGGCCAUGCCGCGUGUGUGAAGAAGGCCUUUUGGUUGUAAAGCACUUUAAGCAGGGAGGAGAGGCUAAUGGUUAAUACCCAUUAGAUUAGACGUUACCUGCAGAAUAAGCACCGGCUAACUCUGUGCCAGCAGCCGCGGUAAUACAGAGGGUGCGAGCGUUAAUCGGAAUUACUGGGCGUAAAGCGAGUGUAGGUGGCUCAUUAAGUCACAUGUGAAAUCCCCGGGCUUAACCUGGGAACUGCAUGUGAUACUGGUGGUGCUAGAAUAUGUGAGAGGGAAGUAGAAUUCCAGGUGUAGCGGUGAAAUGCGUAGAGAUCUGGAGGAAUACCGAUGGCGAAGGCAGCUUCCUGGCAUAAUAUUGACACUGAGAUUCGAAAGCGUGGGUAGCAAACAGGAUUAGAUACCCUAGUAGUC
rnacentral:rRNA from 1 species